rnacentral:piRNA from 1 species
UGUGCUGGUUGGUGAAUGAUGGUUUC